rnacentral:rRNA from 1 species
UACGUAGGGUGCGAGCGUUAAUCGGAAUUACUGGGCGUAAAGCGUGCGCAGGCGGUUGUGCAAGACAGAUGUGAAAUCCCCGGGCUCAACCUGGGAAUUGCAUUUGUGACUGCACGGCUAGAGUGUGUCAGAGGGGGGUAGGAAUUCCACAUGUAGCAGUGAAAUGCGUAGAGAUGUGGAGGAAUACCGAUGGCGAAGGCAGCCCCCUGGGAUAACACUGACGCUCAUGCACGAAAGCGUGGGAGCAAACAGG